GUACGGAAGGCAGCAGUGGGGAAUAUUGGACAAUGGGCGAAAGCCUGAUCCAGCCAUGCCGCGUGAGUGAUGAAGGCCUUAGGGUUGUAAAGCUCUUUUGUCAGGGAAGAUAAUGACGGUACCUGAAGAAUAAGCACCGGCUAACUUCGUGCCAGCAGCCGCGGUAAUACGAAGGGUGCUAGCGUUGUUCGGAAUCACUGGGCGUAAAGCGCGCGUAGGCGGCUUAAUAAGUCAGAGGUGAAAGCCUGGAGCUUAACUCCAGAACUGCCUUUGAAACUGUUAAGCUGGAGUGUCGGAGGGGAUAGCGGAAUUGCUAAUGUAGAGGUGAAAUUCGUAGAUAUUAGCAGGAACACCGGUGGCGAAGGCGGCUAUCUGGACGACAACUGACGCUGAGGCGCGAAAGCGUGGGGAUCAAACAGGAUUAGAUACCCGAGUAGUCC
rnacentral:rRNA from 1 species